rnacentral:rRNA from 1 species
AUUGAACGCUGGCGGCAGGCCUAACACCUGCAAGUCGAGCGGAGCGGCGGACGGGUGAGUAAUGCCUAGGAAUCUGCCUGUUCGUGGGGGAUAACGUCCGGAAACGGGCGCUAAUACCGCAUACUAUCAGAUUAGCCUAUGUCGGAUUAGCUAGUUGGUGGGGUAAAGGCCUACCAAGGCGACGAUCCGUAACUGGUCUGAGAGGAUGAUCAGGCACACUGGAACGGAGACACGGUCCAGACUCCUACGGGAGGCAGCAGUGGGGAAUAUUGGACAAUGGGCGAAAGCCGGAUACAGCCAUGCCGCGUGUGUGAAGAAGGUCUUCGGAUUGUAAAGCACUUUAAGUUGGGAGGCGUUACCAACAGAAUAAGCACCGGCUAACUGCGUGCCAGCAGCCGCGGUAAUUC